rnacentral:rRNA from 1 species
UACGAAGGGGGCUAGCGUUGCUCGGAAUUACUGGGCGUAAAGGGCGCGUAGGCGGAUAUCUAAGUUGGGGGUGAAAGCCCUGGGCUCAACCCAGGAAGUGCAUUCGAAACUGCCAGGCUUGAAUAUGGAAGAGGGUCGCGGAAUUCCCGGUGUAGAGGUGAAAUUCGUAGAUAUCGGGAGGAACACCAGUGGCGAAGGCGGCGACCUGGGCCAAUAUUGACGCUGAGGUGCGAAAGCGUGGGGAGCAAACAGG